UAAAAAAAGGUAAGCUACUAAGAGCGAAUGGUGGAUGCCUUGACUGGUAAAGGCGAUGAAGGACGUACUAGACUGCGAUAAGCUACGGGGAGCUGUCAAGAAGCUUUGAUCCGUAGAUUUCCGAAUGGGGCAACCCAAUGUAUAGAGAUAUACAUUACCUAUAUAGGAGCGAACGAGGGGAAUUGAAACAUCUUAGUACCCUCAGGAAAAGAAAUCAAUAGAGAUUGCGUCAGUAGCGGCGAGCGAAAGCGCAAGAGGGCAAACCCAGUGCUUGCACUGGGGGUUGUAGGACUGCAAUGUGCAAGAGGUAAGUUUAGCAGAACAUUCUGGAAAGUAUAACCAUAGAGGGUGAUAGUCCCGUAUGCGAAAAACAAACCUUAGCUAGCAGUAUCCUGAGUAGGGCGGGACACGAGGAAUCCUGUCUGAAUCCGGGUCGACCACGAUCCAACCCUAAAUACUAAUACCAGAUCGAUAGUGCACAAGUACCGUGAGGGAAAGGUGAAAAGAACUGAGGUGAUCAGAGUGAAAUAGAACCUGAAACCAUUUGCUUACAAUCAUUCAGAGCCCUAUGUAGCAAUACAGGGUGAUGGACUGCCUUUUGCAUAAUGAGCCUGCGAGUUGUGGUGUCUGGCAAGGUUAAGCAAACGCGAAGCCGUAGCGAAAGCGAGUCUGAAUAGGGCGCUUAGUCAGAUGCUGCAGACCCGAAACGAAGUGAUCUAUCCAUGAGCAAGUUGAAGCUAGUGUAAGAACUAGUGGAGGACUGAACCCAUAGGCGUUGAAAAGCCCCGGGAUGACUUGUGGAUAGGGGUGAAAGGCCAAUCAAACUUCGUGAUAGCUGGUUCUCUCCGAAAUAUAUUUAGGUAUAGCGUUGUGUCGUAAUAUAAGGGGGUAGAGCACUGAAUGGGCUAGGGCAUACACCAAUGUACCAAACCCUAUCAAACUCCGAAUACCUU
rnacentral:rRNA from 1 species